GAGCGAAACAUCGCCCUUGUUAAAGCAGUAAAAAGGGUGAUGUCUAUCCAGCGUAGCGGCUGGGUACUGAUGAGCAGCUAAAU
rnacentral:hammerhead_ribozyme from 1 species